GCCCGGAAGUAAUUUCUUCUCCUUCUCGUUCGCCGGAAGUGCACAGGAGUUGGUCGUAGUUCUAAAUAAAAAUGCUACCUUUGUAGUGUUCGGGUGACACCGGGACAUUAACGGUGAAUGUAUUCAUAUCUGAAAUGCCUACUAGUGCUCACACCCGCCUUCCCGGUCGCUUUAAUGUGGUGAGCGCGGAUGAAGUCGCCAAGUUGUGCUACGAGCGUUUCAGUCAGCUUCCCCGCAGAGGGAAGCCUGAGCCGGGCAGAGAGUGGACCCUGCUGGCCGCUGUGCUCCAGAUCACCCGCGGAGCUGACUCUCACUCAGUUGCCAUGGAGGUUGUUUCCCUGGGAACUGGGACCAAAUGUAUUGGACAGACCGCCAUGAGUCCCACAGGUGAUGUACUUAACGACAGCCAUGCAGAGGUCAUUGCCAGGAGGGGAUGUAUCAGGUACCUGAUCCAGGAGCUGCACGGGGCUGUGAGCGGUCGGGGCAGCUCUGUGUUUUGUGCAGCAGAUGAGCGAGGAAAGUGGAAGCUUCGGCCUGGAGUGUCCUUUCUCCUGUUUACCAGUCACACUCCCUGUGGCGACGCCUCCAUCAUCCCCAUGACUGACAGCCAGCCUCAGCCCUGCCCUCCUGUCACAUCGGUAAAGGGCCAUGAACAGACUGAUGGAGGAGGAGACCUGAAAAGGAAAGCAGAGGAAUCCGGCGAGGUGCAAAACUCUAAGCAGCCUCGUCUGGAGGAGACAGCAGAGAUGAAGGAGGAGGACAGAGGAGACACAGAACAGUGUGGAUCACUAAACUUUAACAAAACAUCGGAAACACCCUCACAAACCAGCAGCUCUGCAGACUUGGCUCAAACUGAUGGUGCUGGGCUGCAUCAUCAGGUCUCAGACAUUCACAGAACAGGGGCCAAGUGUGUACUGGGUGGCCCAGCUGACCCUCUGCAGCCUGGGGUGCGGUAUCACAGUCCGGGCGUGCUCCGGGUGAAGCCCGGCAGAGGAGAGCCAACUCUCUCCCUCUCCUGCAGCGACAAGAUGGCCCGCUGGGGGGUGCUGGGCUUCCAGGGUGCACUGCUGUCCCAUUACCUACAGGAGGCUCUGUACUUCAGCACCGUGGUGGUGGGGAAGUGUCCAUAUGACCAAGAAGUCAUGCAGAGAGCUUUGGUCACAAGGUGCGCCUGUGUAUCGGACCUCCCUGCCGGUUUCUCCGUACGUCCACCCGAGCUGCUCCAGGCCACGUUGGAGUUUCCUUUCAGCCAGGCUCAAACAGAGCUCCAGCACCAGGCCGGCCAGGGCCGCAUCUCCCCCUGCGGGGCAGCCAUCAGCUGGUGUAACAUAACAGAGCAGCCACUAGAUGUCACCGCUAACGGCUACAAACACGGAGUCACCAAGAAGGCCCUGGGAACAGCAAAAGCCAGGUAGAACCAAUCCAGUGUCGUCAUACACGAGUGCCAUGUCUCUUCUGUGCAAAUUGGAGCUUUUUCAUUCCUUCUUGUCUUUGGUGUCGGCCACCGAUCCCUCGGCUCUCCCCAACUCUCUCAGGAAAGCAGAGCUGCAAACCUACUGGGACUACAAGCAGGCCUCCCAGUCGUACCAGCAGGCCUGGCAGCAGCUGCGCAGUCAGGCAUUCCCUCUGUGGCCGCGCAGUGACAGAAACCUCCUCCUCUUCCACUGAAAACUCCCUCUUGACAGGCUCGAUGACAAAGCGGCAUUGUUGUAGGAGAAACUGAGAGGUCAAAGGUCGCCCAAGGUUUGAAUUUGUGAAACUCAGUUUUCAAACACGCUGCCGAGAACAAAGGAUCGCAGCACCCUUUUAAUAAAAGGACAAGCUUGGCUUCUUUAA